rnacentral:rRNA from 1 species
AACGAACGCUGGCGGCAUGCCUAACACAUGCAAGUCGAACGAGACCUUCGGGUCUAGUGGCGCACGGGUGCGUAACGCGUGGGAACCUGCCCUUAGGUUCGGAAUAACUCCCCGAAAGGGGUGCUAAUACCGGAUAAUGUCUUCGGACCAAAGAUUUAUCGCCUUUGGAUGGGCCCGCGUUGGAUUAGCUAGUUGGUAGGGUAAAAGCCUACCAAGGCGACGAUCCUUAGCUGGUCUGAGAGGAUGAUCAGCCACACUGGGACUGAGACACGGCCCAGACUCCUACGGGAGGCAGCAGUAGGGAAUAUUAGACAAGGGGCGAAAGCCUGAUCCAGCAAUGCCGCGUGAGUGAUGAAGGCCUUAGGGUUGUAAAGCUCUUUUACCCGGGAUGAUAAUGACAGUACCGGGAGAAUAAGCACCGGCUAACUCCGUG